rnacentral:lncRNA from 1 species
AGUGGCUUAUAGAAUGUUCAAGGAGACCUGACAGCAGGCUUACAGGACUCAUCCAAACCCUGUCACGGUUACAGAAGAGCCAACACUAUCUCCUUUCUGAACAAUAUGAUCAUUUCUGAUUUCCAAGAGUAAAGCGACCUCAAAUUCAAACUGCCUGUGAUGAAGGAGAGGCGUGGAGGCACCGUCCGUGAGAGGCAGACAACAGAAAGUCACAGACCACAGUAUGUGUUAAAAUAGGAAAUAUCAUCUGGACGGCACGGAUUAACUAUAUCCCAGAGACAAGGAAGGAGCCAGAUUCGAAAUCCAAGCUGUCUAGGAAGUAAUCUUCAGAAGCAGCUGUUAAAACAGAACACUUUCUGCUAUCUGCCAGAGCCGCCCUGUCAGCUCUGUGUUGGAUUUAAAACAGUGGUGAUCAACUCUUGGAGUCAAGUCAUCUUGCCAGGUUAGAUGCAGAUAUCACUAUCAUGUCUGGCUCAGUGUUCAUUCUCAAUAUGGCUUCAGGCUGUGAAGAUGAGAAAGGAAACCAGCAGCCUUUCCAGAUGUGAGAAGAGCCUUGCCACAAGAUGCUUGGAGGAAUGAAUGACCAGUGUGCAGGACACCCAGAUGCUGUCCUGGCCCCUUUGGUACUCAGCAUGUAAUCUUAGGAUCAACUUCUUGCUCUUUUUCUAAGAAGUACUCUUGAAUCCGAAGAACAAUAUCAGUUAUUAUCAAUAAUCAUCUGCAUUAGAGCAGAACGAAUACAUUUCUAUCAGGGAAGAGAAAACCACCCAUUCCAUCAUUAAGCUCAACAUCAUUUUAUUGUUUUCAUUAUUAUUUACUAUUGGCAGGUGGGCUGUGCAUGACAGUGCAGAUGCUGGGGCCAGAAGUCUACUCCAUGUAGUUCGUUCUCUCCUCCCACCUCUAUGUGGGUUCCAGCAGUCAAAAUCAGGUUGCCAGGUUUGCACAGCAAACACCUUCAACUGCUAAGCCAUCUUGCUGGCCCAAAGGUUGGCAUCACUGAAGCCUACAGUUUUUUAUGGUCCUCCAUAAAAGAAGUGACAGAAGUCCCCAUUUUCUACCAUAAAGCCUCCACUUUCUUAGAGGCCAGUGGCCAAGACAAGUGAAAAUGAUUCUGACUGUGAUUAUUCUAAUUCUGGUUAUUGGUAAAGUCGCCACUCUCUGUGUUUUGGCAACAUUAGCUCAAAUAAGCAUGGGCCUUUGUUUCUAGGGUGAAACAUGAGCUCUGACUUCUAAAUCAACAGACAAGAAAGUGUAUGAAAUAAAACUUUAAAAGCUGGGUGAUGUCUAAGAUUAUAAGACCAUUAAACAAUACUGGUAAGUACAGAGACACAGCAAAGCAGUAUGGAAACUUGGCUCACGGGUGAGCUCAUGAAACCUGCCUUAUGUGGAGACAGCCUUCCAAUUUGGUUCUGAAGUGAACAAAAAAUAAAGCUUGAUUUAAUCUGGC